rnacentral:rRNA from 1 species
CCUACGGGGUGCAGCAGUGAGGAAUAUUGGUCAAUGGCCGGAAGGCUGAACCAGCCAUGCCGCGUGAAGGUCAGUGCCCUAUGGGCGUUAAACUUCUUUUGUGCGGGAGCAAUAAUGGUCACGUGUGGCCAGACGAGAGUACCGUACGAAUAAGCAUCGGCUAACUCCGUGCCAGCAGCCGCGGUAAUACGGGGGAUGCAAGCGUUAUCCGGAUUUAUUGGGUUUAAAGGGUGCGUAGGCUGUGAGGUAAGUCAGCGGUGAAAUGCCCCCGCUCAACGGGGUGAAGUGCCAUUGAUACUGCCUGGCUGGAAUGCGGAUGCCGUGGGAGGAAUGUGUGGUGUAGCGGUGAAAUGCAUAGAUAUCACACAGAACACCGAUUGCGAAGGCAUCUCACGAAGCCGCGAUUGACGCUGAUGCACGAAAGCGUGGGUAUCAAACAGGAUUAGAUACCCGUGUAGUC